GGUUGCGAUCAUACCAGCACUAAUGCACCGGAUCUCAUCAGAACUCCGCAGUUAAGCGUGCUUGGGCGAGAGUAGUACUAGGAUGGGUGACCCCCUCGGAAGUCCUCGUGUUGCAACCC
rnacentral:rRNA from 1 species